GUAGAUCCAGNGUAGCGUGAAUGCGUAGAAGAUCUGGAGGAAUACNGUUNNGANGCGNCCCUGACGAAGACUGANGCUCAGNUGCGAAAGCGUGGGGAGCAAACAGGAUUAGAUACCUGGUAGUCCACGCGUAAACGAUGUCGACUUGGAGGUUGUGCCCUUGAGGCGUGGCUUCCGGAGCUAACGCGUUAAGUCGACCGCCUGGGGAGUACGGCCGCAAGGUUAAAACUCAAAUGAAUUGACGGGGGCCCGCACAAGCGGUGGAGCAUGUGGUUUAAUUCGAUGCAACGCGAAGAACCUUACCUGGUCUUGACAUCCACGGAAGUUUUCAGAGAUGAGAAUGUGCCUUCGGGAACCGUGAGACAGGUGCUGCAUGGCUGUCGUCAGCUCGUGUUGUGAAAUGUUGGGUUAAGUCCCGCAACGAGCGCAACCCUUAUCCUUUGUUGCCAGCGGUCCGGCCGGGAACUCAAAGGAGACUGCCAGUGAUAAACUGGAGGAAGGUGGGGAUGACGUCAAGUCAUCAUGGCCCUUACGACCAGGGCUACACACGUGCUACAAUGGCGCAUACAAAGAGAAGCGACCUCGCGAGAGCAAGCGGACCUCAUAAAGUGCGUCGUAGUCCGGAUUGGAGUCUGCAACUCGACUCCAUGAAGUCGGAAUCGCUAGUAAUCGUGGAUCAGAAUGCCACGGUGAAUACGUUCCCGGGCCUUGUACACACCGCCCGUCACACCAUGGGAGUGGGUUGCAAAAGAAGUAGGUAGCUUAACCUUCGGGAGGGCGCUUACCACUUUGUGAUUCAUGACUGGGGUGAAGUCGUAACAAGGUAACCGUAGGGGAACCUGCGGCUGGAUCACCUCCUU
rnacentral:rRNA from 1 species